GCGGGAUUAGUACAGUGGCAGUACGCGACCUUCCCAAGGUUGAGACGAGGGUUCGAUUCCCUUAUCCCGCU
rnacentral:tRNA from 1 species